UAAACUUUGUCAGAACUUCCAAGCCCCUAGUCACACCCUCUCCCUCCCCCCACACAUCUCCCCAAAAAUACACAUCUAUUUUUGGGGAGAUGUGUGGGGGGAGGGAGAGGGUGUGACUAGGGGCUUGGAAGUUCUGACAAAGUU
rnacentral:miRNA from 1 species